rnacentral:lncRNA from 10 species
ACCCAAUGAAGUGCCACUUGCCACAAGAAGCUAAGUCACAAUCUGAUGGCCAGAGGAGGCAAUCAUUCUUCCUACAGUUUUGUGCAUAAACCUUCCUGCCUCUCUGCUGGGGACCACCUAUGGGGAAAGGAAAACUUCUCUCUCAUGGCUCUCCUUUCCCAGGAAAACUUUAGCUCCUGUUGAGACCAACACCUUCCCUGGAGAAUGCAGAGUGAAGGGAUUAGGCCCAUCACAAUUUUCCAUUCAUGAUGUUGGGUCAAGCAAGGCAUCACACAGAAUGAAUAGAAACAGAAACAGCCCCACAUGUGAAGUAGGAGCCAUGCUGGAAUGAACAAGGGCCACGGUAUGGGUGAGUUACACGGUACAGAGCACAGGGGCUGACUGCUUUGUGCUCUUCCAGGUGGGAUCAUUACUUGCCAGCCUUCCAGCUGAUGCCAGUGGCAACAGCACGACAGGCUGAACUGGAUUCUUUAUGACUAUGUAUUCAUUAGGGGGAAAAAGCACUUCCAAUGCAAAUGAUUGAAAUGGAAACAAGAUGUGCACUCUGCUGCCUAAAUGAAAGCUCUACCAGGUAGGCCAUUCAAACUCAAUUAAGAGUAGCAAAACAGGAUCUAUCAGGACAGUGGCUGUAACCCCUGUCACAGAGAAUGGACAGUGAGCGGUCCAAAUGGAUUGGGGGGCAUGAAUGGCACCUGACUUACAGCAGGAGCUCAGCACUUUUACUCUCUUUGCCGCUUCACUGGAACCAGGAGAAAAAGACAUUAGGAUGAAGGAUAAUGUGUGAUACACACAUAAAGAUGAAAGCGAGAGGGACACAUGCAAUGUCACUUAUUGGAAGGACCACUUUAGGCUGCUCUGUCCUCUCUCCCCUGAAAACAUGUUCCACAUUGUUUUAACCAUCUGUGGCCCACUCUGGAGCUCAAGGAACCCUGGCCUUUCUGCUUUAUUGUGAGCACAGCCAUAUGAAACUGCAAUCUGGCAGCUGAAGGGGAAAGUACUUUUACUGUCUCUGCUGAGAAAGGGUUUGGAUGAAUCGAAUCCCCUGUUAUGCGUGAAAUUGUACCCUCUAGAAAGCUCUGUUGAUGACCCAACCCACGGUACCUGUGAAUGUGACCUUAUUUGAAAAUAUGGUCUUAUAAAUGUAAUCAAGCAAAGAUGAGAUGAUACUGAAUUAGGGUGGGCCUCCACCAACAUGACUGGUGUCCUUAUGAGAAGCAAGGAAGAGACAUAAGGAGAACAUGGUGUGACAAUUGAGACAGAGAUUGGAGUGAUGCAUCUACAAGCCAAGAAAUGUCAAGGGCCGUGAGCCACACCAGAAGCUAAGAGAAAGGCAUGGGACUGACCCUCCCCUAGAGCCAUCAGAAAGAGCCUGACCCUGGCGGCACCUUGCUUUUGGACUUCUAGACUCCAGAAUUAUGAGAAUAAAUUUGUGUUGCUUUAAGCCACUCAGUUUGUGGUAAUUUGUUAUGACAGUUCUAAGAAACUAAUCCACCCUGCUAAAGAGUAAAUGUCUGAUGCAAAACUCACUACAUGGAUGAAAAGGCUGAGAUAUUCCGAAGAGUCAUAAUGAACUGUGCCGUCAUCUACAAAGGAAGUGCAGCACUGCAACAACUCAAGAUAGAUUCUGGAGACGUGGCAGGACAGACGUGCCUACCAGACUAGGAGCACUUUCAGGACAGCGUCAUGCCUUGUUCUCCUCCACAUCCCUCCGUGCCUGAAAAUCAGAAAUGCUCAAUUAAAUGUUGAAAAUGUCAAUAAAUUCAUAGGAAAACGA